CCACGACUUAAUCGAAUGCUUCUGGCCUCGAAACUCCACUACUUUCUUCAGAGACCCAUCUGAGCUGCGCUGCUGUCUGAACGGAAGCUAGUUUUCACUCUUAGCAUCCAGGGAAGGCAACCAUAAAGAAACAGGAUGGACUGCCUGCCCUGAGAGCCUGCUCUUCCAGCUAGAUAAACAGGGUGGAGCAACCGGCACAGGGAGGAGUUAGCUACACCGGCACCCGGAGAAGCAGCCUCCUGGGCCCAGUGCCAAGGCCUGAACUUCAAAAGGGACAACUUCAGAAGCCGGCUUGGAAGUUCAUAAAGAAUGGGUGAAAUCUGGAAGACCGAGAAGAAAUGGACAAUCGAAGUUACACUCAUGAACACAGCCACUGUGGAAAGUAGUUUGGUGCUUUCACGGAUAGCUAAAAGUACACAAACUAGGUUGCCCAGCAACCCCACUCCCAUAGCGCUCAAGAGAGGCAGACUCAUUUCAAUUCCAGACUACAAUGUGAUAAGAGCUCACUCUGUCUCACCCGACUCUGCACUGCUGCGCACUUGAGUUCACAGCAGGGCCUUGCUGGCAUAGCUGUGGCCCCUCUACUUUGGACCUCCAGAACCGUGAGCCAAAAUGAACCCCUUUGUUUUUGUAAUUUAAGAAAAAAAGUAAACUGUGUUCUUGA